UACGUAGGGGGCAAGCGUUGUCCGGAUUUAUUGGGCGUAAAAGGCUUGUAGGUGGCCACGCCAAGUCGGAUGUGAAAUCUCCCGGCUCAACUGGGAGGGGUCAUUCGAUACUGGCGGGCUCGAGGCCGGUAGGGGGAAGUGGAAUUCCCGGUGUAGUGGUGGAAUGCGUAGAUAUCGGGAGGAACACCAGUGGCGAAGGCGGCUCCUGGACCGGAACUGACGCUGAUGCGCGAAAGCGUGGGUAGCAAACAGG
rnacentral:rRNA from 1 species